AGGACGAACGCUGGCAGCGUGCCUAAUACAUGCAAGUCGAGCGGAGUUGAUGAGGUGCUUGCACCUCUGAUGCUUAGCGGCGGACGGGUGAGUAACACGUAGGUAACCUGCCCUCAAGACUGGGAUAACAUUCGGAAACGAAUGCUAAGACCGGACACGCAGUUUGGUUGCAUGACUGGACUGGGAAACACGGAGCAAUCUGUGGCUUGAGGAUGGGCCCGCGGCGCAUUAGCUAGUUGGUGGGGUAACGGCUCACCAAGGCGACGAUGCGUAGCCGACCUGAGAGGGUGAACGGCCACACUGGGACUGAGACACGGCCCAGACUCCUACGGGAGGCAGCAGUAGGGAAUCUUCCACAAUGGGCGCAAGCCUGAUGGAGCAACGCCGCGUGAGUGAGGAAGGCCUUCGGGUCGUAAAGCUUUGUUGCCAGGGAAGAAUAAGAGCCAGUUAACUGCUGGUUCGAUGACGGUACCUGGGAAGAAAGCCCCGGCUAACUACGUGCCAGCAGCCGCGGUAAUACGUAGGGGGCAAGCGUUGUCCGGAAUUAUUGGGCGUAAAGCGCGCGCAGGCGGUUCAUUAAGUCUGGUGUAUAAGUGCGGGGCUCAACCCCGUGAGGCACUGGAAACUGGGGAACUUGAGUGCAGAAGAGGAGAGCGGAAUUCCACGUGUAGCGGUGAAAUGCGUAGAGAUGUGGAGGAACACCAGUGGCGAAGGCGGCUCUCUGGACUGUAACUGACGCUGAGGCGCGAAAGCGUGGGGAGCAAACAGGAUUAGAUACCCUGGUAGUCCACGCCGUAAACGAUGAGUGCUAGGUGUUGGGGGUAUCAUGCCCUCGGUGCCGAAGUUAACACAUUAAGCACUCCGCCUGGGGAGUACGGUCGCAAGACUGAAA
rnacentral:rRNA from 1 species